GACGAACGCUGGCGGCGUGCCUAAUACAUGCAAGUUGAGCGCUGAAGGUUGGUACUUGUACCAACUGGAUGAGCAGCGAACGGGUGAGUAACGCGUGGGGAAUCUGCCUUUGAGCGGGGGACAACAUUGGGAAACGAAUUCUAAUACCGCAUAAAAACUUUAAACACAAUGUUUAAGUUUGAAAGAUGCAAUUGCAUCACUCAAAGAUGAUCCCGCGUUGUAUUAGCUAGUUGGUGAGGUAAAGGCUCACCAAGGCGAUGAUACAUAGCCGACCUGAGAGGGUGAUCGGCCACACUGGGACUGAGACACGGCCCAAACUCCUACGGGAGGCAGCAGUAGGGAAUCUUGGGCAAUGGACGAAAGUCUGACCGAGCAACGCCGCGUGAGUGAAGAAGGUUUUCGGAUCGUAAAACUCUGUUGGUAGAGAAGAAAGUUGGUGAGAGUGGAAAGCUCAUCAAGUGACGGUAACUACCCAGAAAGGGACGGCUAACUACGUG
rnacentral:rRNA from 1 species